CAGUCGCCACGGGAAUACGGAGGGGGCUAGCGUUGUUCGGAAUACUGGGCGUAAAGCGCACGUAGGCGGCUUGGUAAGUUAGAGGUGAAAGCCUGGAGCUCAACUCCAGAAUUGCCUUUAAGACUGCCGAACUAGCAGGUGUGAGAGGUAAGUGGAAUUCCGAGUGUAGAGGUGAAAUUCGUAGAUAUUCGGAAGAACACCAGUGGCGAAGGCGGCUUACUGGCUCAUACUGGACGCUGAGGUGCGAAAGCGUGGGGAGCAAACAGGAUUAGAUACCCCUGUAGUCCCUGUCUCUUAUACA
rnacentral:rRNA from 1 species